GAUGAACGCUGGCGGCGUGCCUAAUACAUGCAAGUCGAGCGAACAGACGAGGAGCUUGCUCCUCUGACGUUAGCGGCGGACGGGUGAGUAACACGUGGAUAACCUACCUAUAAGACUGGGAUAACUUCGGGAAACCGGAGCUAAUACCGGAUAAUAUAUUGAACCGCAUGGUUCAAUAGUGAAAGACGGUUUUGCUGUCACUUAUAGAUGGAUCCGCGCCGCAUUAGCUAGUUGGUAAGGAAACGGCUUACCAAGGCAACGAUGCGUAGCCGACAUGAGAGGUUGAUCGGCCACACUGGAACUGAGACACGGUCCAGCCUCCUACGGGAGGCAGCAGUAGGGAAUCUUCCGCAAUGGGCGAAAGCCUGACGGAGCAACGCCGCGUGAGUGAUGAAGGUCUUCGGAUCGUAAAACUCUGUUAUUAGGGAAGAACAAAUGUGUAAGUAACUAUGCACGUCUUGACGGUACCUAAUCAGAAAGCCACGGCUAACUACGUG
rnacentral:rRNA from 1 species